rnacentral:rRNA from 1 species
GUAGGUGGCAAGCGUUGUCCGGAAUUAUUGGGCGUAAAGCGCGCGCAGGCGGGUACUUUAAGUCUGAUGUGAAAAGCCCACGGGCUCAACCGUGGAGGGUCAUUGGAAACUGGGGGACUUGAGUACAGAAGAGGAAAGCGGAAUUCCAAGUGUAGCGGUGAAAUGCGUAGAGAUUUGGAGGAACACCAGUGGCGAAGGCGGCUUUCUGGUCUGUAACUGACGCUGAGGCGCGAAAGCGUGGGGAGCAAACAGGAUUAGAUACCCUGGUAGUCCACGCCGUAAACGAUGAGUGCUAAGUGUUAGGGGGUUUCCGCCCCUUAGUGCUGCAGCUAACGCAUUAAGCACUCCGCCUGGGGAGUACGGCCGCAAAGGCUG